rnacentral:rRNA from 1 species
GAUCCUGCCGGACCCUACUGCUAUCGGGGUGGGACUAAGACAUGCGUGUCGAACGACCCCAAGCCAACAUGAGGUCGUGGCAUACGGCUCAGUAACACGUGGCUAACCUACCCUCGAGACAGGGACAACCCCGGGAAACUGGGGCUAAUCCCAGAUAGAUGAAGACCCCUGGAACGGGUCCUCGUCCAAAAGGCACCGCGGUUAUGCUCUGCGGUGUCGCUCAAGGAUGGGGCCGCGUCCGAUCAGGCUGUUGGUGAGGUAAUGGCUCACCAAACCUAUAACCGGUACGGGCCGUGGGAGCGGGAGCCCGGAGAUGGGAACUGAGACAAGGUCCCAGGCCCUACGGGGCGCAGCAGUUACGAAAACUUGUCAAUGCACGAAAGUGUGAACGGGCUACCCCGAGUGCCGUCCGCUGAGGAUGGCUUUUCUCUGCUUUAAGAAGGCAGAGGAAUAAGGCGAGGGCAAGUCUGGUGUCAGCCGCCGCGGUAAUACCAGCUCGCCGAGUGGUAGGGAUGAUUAUUGGGCCUGAAGCGUCCGUAGCUGGCCUUUCAAGUCUCUUGUUAAAUCCAACGAUUCAAUCGCUGGACUGCAGGAGAUACUGUGAGGCUAGGAGGCGAGAGAAGCCGACGGUAUUUUCGGGGUAGGGGUAAAAUCCUAUAAUCCCGAGAAGACCACCAGUGGCGAAGGCGGUCGGCUAGCGCGCGCUCGACAGUGAGGGACGAAAGCUGGGGGAGCGAACCGGAUUAGAUACCCGGGUAGUCCCAGCUGUAAACGAUGCUGGCUAGGUGUUGAAGCGGCCACGAGCCGCUUCAGUGCCGCAGGAAAGCCAUUAAGCCAGCCGCCUGGGGAGUACGGCCGCAAGGCUGAAACUUAAAGGAAUUGGCGGGGGAGCACCACAAGGGGUGAAGCUUGCGGUUUAAUUGGAGUCAACGCCGGG